GCAUACUACUGUAUGGAGGAGCCACCUUCGGUGGCAGGAAGACAGGUGGUGCAUGGGUUGUCGUCAGCUCGUGUCGUGAGAUGUUGGGUUAAGUCCCGCAACGAGCGCAACCCUUAUUGUUAGUUGCUACCAUUUAGUUGAGCACUCUAGCGAGACUGCCCGGGUUAACCGGGAGGAAGGUGGGGAUGACGUCAAAUCAUCAUGCCCCUUAUGUCUAGGGCUACACACGUGCUACAAUGGUCGGUACAAUGAGAUGCAACCUCGCGAGAGUGAGCAAAACUAUAAAACCGAUCUCAGUUCGGAUUGUAGGCUGAAACUCGCCUACAUGAAGCUGGAGUUGCUAGUAAUCGCGAAUCAGAAUGUCGCGGUGAAUACGUUCCCGGGCCUUGUACUCACCGCCCAUACA
rnacentral:rRNA from 1 species